UACGUAGGGGGCAAGCGUUGUCCGGAAUCAUUGGGCGUAAAGCGCGCGCAGGCGGCCUUUUAAGUCUACCCGUGAAAUGCCGGGGCUCAACUCCGUGCACGCCGGGGGAUACUGGGAGGCUGGAGACAUGUAGAGGCAAGCGGAAUUCCGGGUGUAGCGGUGGAAUGCGUAGAGAUCCGGAAGAACACCUGAGGCGAAGGCGGCUUGCUGGGCAUGAUCUGACGCUGAGGCGCGAAAGCGUGGGGAGCAAACAGG
rnacentral:rRNA from 1 species